rnacentral:rRNA from 1 species
CCGCCAGACUCCUACGGGAGGCAGCAGUGGGGAAUAUUGCACAAUGGGGGAAACCCUGAUGCAGCAACGCCGCGUGAAGGAAGACGGUUUUCGGAUUGUAAACUUCUAUCAAUAGGGAAGAAAGAAAUGACGGUACCUAAAUAAGAAGCCCCGGCUAACUACGUGCCAGCAGCCGCGGUAAUACGUAGGGGGCAAGCGUUAUCCGGAUUUACUGGGUGUAAAGGGAGCGUAGACGGCAGCGCAAGUCUGAAGUGAAAUGCCGGGGCUUAACCCCGGAACUGCUUUGGAAACUGAGCAGCUAGAGUGCAGGAGAGGUAAGUGGAAUUCCUAGUGUAGCGGUGAAAUGCGUAGAUAUUAGGAGGAACACCAGUGGCGAAGGCGGCCUGCUGGACGACAACUGACGGUGAGGCGCGAAAGCGUGGGGAGCAAACAGGAUUAGAUACCCGAGUAAA